AUGCGGGGUUGGCUCACGACACCACCUGCUGGAAGCCACAAGCCACUGCUGCAGAAAGGAGGGGAAGGCUCAGAGGUCAAAGGAGACUGGCUCUGCAGACUCAAUCUUCCAAACCUUCCCAACCUGAGCAAUGUCUACAUCUCUCUACUCAAGCUGACACGUGGCCCGUGCAUACCAGAACGACCAUACAGUGAUCAUAAAAGUCUUGUUCCAGAGUGUUCUACAAGGCCCCUCUGGGCAGGUUGUCUCACCACUGCCAUUUUCAGCCACAAGAAAAGAAGUCAUCAAGUCCUCUGCAUCUAUCAGCUGGCUCUAAUCGUCACCUUUACUUGCAAAUACUAAACAAAAGGAAGCAAACGAACAAAUUCACCUUUUAAAACAGCAAAAAGGGGUGCCGCAUAGGGUGGCCCAGUGGUUAAGCGUCUGCUUAAUCUUGAUCCCAGGGUCCUGGGAUUGAGUUCCACAUUGGGCUCCCCGCAUGGAGCCUGCUUCUCCCUCUGCUUAUGUUUCUGCCUCUCUCUGUGUCUCUCAUGAAUAAAUAAAUAAAACUUUAAAAAAAAAAACA
rnacentral:lncRNA from 1 species